rnacentral:rRNA from 1 species
CAAUAGCGUAUAUUUAAGUUGUUGCAGUUAAAAAGCUCGUAGUCGGAUUUUGGCUGAGAACGAACGGUCCGCCGUUAGGUGUGCACUGUUUGGUCUCAGCUUCCUGGUGAGGAGGUGUGCUUCACGGCCACUUAGUCACCGUGGUUACUUUGAAAAAAUUAGAGUGUUCAAAGCGGGCUUACGCUUGAAUAUAUUAGCAUGGAAUAACACCAUAGGACUCCUGUCCUAUUUCGUUGGUCUCGGGACGGGAGUAAUGAUUAAGAGGAACAGUUGGGGGCAUUCGUAUUUCAUUGUCAGAGGUGAAAUUCUUGGAUUUAUGAAAGGCGAACUUCUGCGAAAGCAUUUGCCAAGGAUGUUUUCAUUGA